rnacentral:rRNA from 1 species
AUUGAACGCUGGCGGCAGGCCGAACACAUGCAAGUCGAACGGUAGCACAGAGAGCUUGCUCUUGGGUGACGAGUGGCGGACGGGUGAGUGAGCUCUGGGAAACUGCCGGAUGGAUGGGGAUAAGUACGGGAAACGGUAGCUACUACCGCAUAAUGUCGCAAGCCCAUAGAGGGGGACCUUCGGGCCUCCUGCCACUAGCGGACACCAGAUGGCAUUCGCUAGGAGGUGGGGUAAUGGCUCACCUAGGCGACGAUCCCUAGCUGGUCUGAGGGGAUGACCAGCCACCCUGGAACUGACACACGGUCCAGACUCCUACGGGAGGCAGCGGUGGGGAAUAUUGCACAAUGGGCGCAAGCCUGAUGCAGCCAUGCCGCGUGUAUGAAGAAGGCCUUCGGGUUGUAAAGUACUUUCAGCGAGGAGGAAGGCAUUAAGGUUAAUAACCUUGGUGAUUGACUUUACUCGCAGAAGAGGCACCGGCUAACUCCGUGCCAGCCGCCGCCGUAAUAC